GUUUUGGGGUACAUGAGCAGAGCAUGCAAGACAGUUGCGUAGGUACACACAUGGCAGUGUGCUUUGCUUUUCUUCUCCCCUUCACCCACAUUUGGCAUUUCUCCCAGGCUAUCCCUCCCCACCUCCCCCUCCCACUGGCCCUCCCCUUUUCCCCCCAAUAGACCCCAGUGUUUAGUACUCCCCUUUCUGUGUCCAUGUGUUCUCAUUUUUCAUCACCCACCUAUGAGUGAGAAUAUGCGGUGCUUCACCUUCUGUUCUUGUGUCAGUUUGCUGAGGAUGAUGUUCUCCAGAUUCAUCCAUGUCCCUACAAACGACACAACCUCAUCAUUUCUGAUUGCUGCAUAAUAUUCCAUGGUGUAUAUGUGCCACAUUUUUCCAAUCCAGUCUAUUAUCAAUGGGCAUUUGGGUUGAUUCCAGGUCUUUGCUAUUGUAAACAGUGCUGCAAUGAACAUUCGUGUACAUGUGUCCUUAUAGUAGAACGAUUUACAGACUUUGGGAUAUAUACCCAGUAAUGGGAUUGCUGGGUCAAAUGGAAUUUCUAUUUCUAAGGCCUUGAGGAAUCGCCACACUGUCUUCCACAAUGGUUGAACUAAUAUACACUCCCACCAACAGUGUAAAAGUGUUCCUUUUUCUCCACAUCCUCUCCAGCAUCUGUUGUCUCCAGAUUUGUCUCCUCAAGCAGCUCCCUGACCCCUCUAUAUCCAAAAGACUGUCAUUAGGCAGGCAUCAUCCUGGGACAAAGAGAGCAGAAAAAGAAACUGGUAGCAUCCCUCGCUGUGCCACGGCUACUAGAGGUGAACCCCAGACAAGCAGGGUCUGGAGUGGACCCAAACAGUCGUACAGCGAAGGGGCUAGACUGGUAGAAGGAAAACCAAGCAACAGAAAUACUUCAUCAUCAACAUUCUGGGUGUCCACUCAGAGACCCAAACGAAAAGUCAGCAACUACGCAGACGACCAGCGGACAAAUCCACAAAGAUGGGAAGAAACCAGCGCAAAACGGAGGAAAACACCCGAAACCAGAACACAUCGCCUCCUAGAAAGGACCAAAACUCCUCACCAGCAAGGGAACAAAGCUGGACGGAGAAUGACUGUGACGAAAUGACGGAAUUAGACUUCAGAAGAUGGAUAAUGAGAACCUUGUGUGAGCUAAAAGAUCAUGUAUUAAAUCAAUGCAAAGAAACUAAGAACCUUGAAAAAGAUUUGAAAAAAGAUUCGAGGAAAUGAUAACAAGAAUGGAUACCUUAGAGAGGAAUAUGAAUGAAUUAAAGGAGCUGAAAAACACAAUACGAGAACUUCGCGAAGCAAACGCAAGUUUCAAUAGCCGAAUUGACCAAGCAGAAGAAAGAAUAUCUGAAGUCGAAGACCAACUCAAUGAAAUAAAAUGAGAAACCAAGAUCAGAGAAAAAAGCGCAAAAAGGA
rnacentral:lncRNA from 1 species